rnacentral:lncRNA from 1 species
AGACGGCGUCGCCAGCUGCCCAGGCAGUUCCUAUCCCUUUCGGAGCUCCAGCCUGCCCCUCCUGACGCUCUCAGAGUCUGGCCUUCUGCUGGGCCCCGGGUCUCUCACUGGCAGAAUGGAGUUCUCGGAGCUGAUCCAUACGGGCUGAGCCCAAGCAGAGUUUCUACGGGGCCCGGAGGCGCCCCCGCUUCGCGGCACGGUGUGAGUCACCGUCCACCACCUGCUCCUGUCGCCAGGGCCCGCGUCCUCUCCGGACCUGUGGCUGCUGCUGUUGCGUAGCGUCGACUCCUUCGAGAAGCAGUGAGACGUGGCGGGGUGGGGGAGGGUCCCCGGGGUUGGGGAGCGCGCGGCUUGGCGGAGUAGGGGGCACGGCCAGCGCAGUCAGAGCUGGCGCCCUCCUGCGUAAGCCCAAUCCGGGAAACUCGUUGCCCCUCUCCUGGGAAAGGAACGUCCCUCCCCAGGGUUGCGAGUGACUCGGGCACCAUCACCCUGUGCUGUAAAGACCUGCGAGUGCUGCAGCUGGAAAUAGAGGGCGCGGAAGCGACGCUGGGCAUCGCCCGCUCCAUCGAGACCAACGCGUGGCGGCUGAGCGAGGUGAACGAGGACUUCAGCUUGUGCCCCAGAUACCCCCGUGCGGUGAUCGUGCCAUACUUGGUGGACGAUGAUGCCCUGGCGCGCAGCGCCCGCUUCCGUCAGGGAGGUCGCUUCCCGGUGCUCAGCUACCACCCGGCUCCCAGCGGCAGAGGGAGCGCGCCCUCCCCACGCUCCGCCCCUGGGUGGCUGCGUCCUUUCUGGGCCUUUUCUUUUUGGCCCGGUCAAUUCGCGGCGUAGCCGCUGCCCCAACUCCUGCCCCAUUCUGGUCCCGCCCCUCUCCCGCCUUUUCGCUGGGAAGGGUAUCACCUUUCUCUGGCCCCGCCCCUGACGGUUCCGGGCCCCGCGAAGCUUAGUCCCUUCUUUGUCAAGCCAGGACCCGCCCACGGUCUAUUCAUAGGGUCCCAAACCACUUUGGCCACAACACCCCCAGACUGGUCCGAAGCCUCGUGAGUUCGCCCUGGUCGUUGCACUCCAGCCUGUCGCUGUGCAGACCUGGCUUAGAGGACCCCUAAGGCUGAGGGGUCACUUCCAGAACUGAGUCCGGUCCGCAGGUUCUGCUACGCUCCAGCCAGCCCCUAACUGGUCCCCAGAAGCGGCGCUGCUACAGGGACCAGGAGCUGCUGCGAACUGCGCUGGCGGGGGCUCGUCCUUGGGCGCGGGGCUUCAUCAUGGACACGCUCUCGGCCCAGGCCGCGAAACAAGCCCGCGUGACUGGCGGAGGCACAGAGACCAAGGCCGCUUAACCUGGCUGGUUGCACUGGUCCCUGGAGAGCACUGAGCACAGGGGCUGCCACAGUGGCCGGCUCAGACAUGGCAGAGAUCAGCAGAGAAUGGGCAAUCAGGCUCCCCUGAGAUGAGCAGCAGCGCAGAGGAGGUGCCCCUCUCUUACUACACCAACUUCAGAGGGCGUCCCCUGCAGGAGAGCUUCAUGCGCCUGGUGGAGGCCUGUGGGGACUCGGAGCAAAGCAUGGACAACUGGCUGAGUCGGCUGGACGGCUGCCGCUGACUGUAACAUGUAAAGCAGGCACUGAGCACCACCUGCCUGGCAGUCCAGGGCAUGGAGAGGCACAGACAGCACCCUGCUUGUGACUUCACUGGCCCAACUCAUCCUGGACCCCUUGAGCAAGACCAUGGCUGGAUUCCAGGAACUGGUGGAGUGGAAGUGGAUCCAGGAAAAUGCCGUGUGAAGGGAGGACUCAGAUGCACUCCCUGUGGUCUGGGCUCAACCAGCCAAAAGAGCAACAAAGACUCCAGAACCCACUCUACCUCCUCAAUCCCUUGGCCAUCUGUGGAGCCCCAGAGCCUGCGGCUGUGGCAAGGCCUGUUUCUGCGCUGGACCUGCUCACCUGAGCCUGCAGAAGCUGCAUGGGGGAAGAGUGUGGCAAAUAGUGACAGGAAGGGAGAAGACAGAAGCCUCUCAGCCAACUGCUUCAGCCGAGCCCCUAUUCUAAGCACUGGCUCCUUGGAUAGCAGCUGAGAUGUUCCUGAAACCUCUGCAGGCCCCUUAGGACCUUUACACCUUGGAUGAGGGUGCCUGCAACCCAGGUUAGCCAAAAGUACUGAGGGUCUUAAGUUUGAAGUGUCCAAAGUAUAGGGAGGUCUCAAUAAUAAAAGUCUCCAUGAUCAGCAUCA